GAUGAACGCUGGCGGCGUGCCUAAUACAUGCAAGUCGAACGGAGAACAUCGUAGCAAUACUUUGUUCUUAGUGGCGAACGGGUGAGUAACGCGUUGGUGACCUGCCCCGAAGAGAGGGAUAACAGUUCGAAAGGACUGCUAAUACCGCAUAAUAUCUUGGUAGUUAGAGAGCCGAGAUGAAAAGGAGAAAUCCGCUUUGGGAGGGACCUGCGUCCCAUCAGCUAGUUGGUAGGGUAAAGGCCUACCAAGGCGAAGACGGUAGGGGCCUGAGAGGGUGACCCCCCACACUGGCACUGAAACACGGGCCAGACACCUACGGGAGGCUG
rnacentral:rRNA from 1 species